rnacentral:lncRNA from 12 species
UGGCAUGAGGAGGGAGCAAGGACAGGAUGUGAGGCAGCAGGCAUAUCUAAAUAAGGCCACAGAGCUAUCAGCAGUGAAUUAAUCCAGCUGGAGACUGAUUUAACUUCUCAAUAGUGC